rnacentral:rRNA from 1 species
GAUGACGUCAAAUCAUCAUGCCCCUUAUGACCUGGGCUACACACGUACUACAAUGGCCGGUACAACGGGAAGCGAAGCCGCGAGGUGGAGCCAAUCCUAGAAAAGCCGGUCUCAGUUCGGAUUGUAGGCUGCAACUCGCCUACAUGAAGUCGGAAUUGCUAGUAAUCGCGGAUCAGCAUGCCGCGGUGAAUACGUUCCCGGGUCUUGUACACACCGCCCGUCACACCACGAGAGUUUACAACACCCGAAGUCGGUGAGGUAACCGCAAGGAGCCAGCCGCCGAAGGUGGGGUAGAUGAUUGGGGUGAAGUCGUAACAAGGUAGCCGUAUCGGAAGGUGCGGCUGGAUCACCUCCUUUCUAUGGAGA